CAAUAGCGUAUAUUAAAGUUGUUGCAGUUAAAAAGCUCGUAGUUGGACUUCUGGGCUUGUGUUGUGGUCCGCCUCACGGUGAGCACUGCGACAUGGGUCCUUCUUCUUGAAGACUGUGCGUGUCCUUAACUGGGUGUGUACAGGAUUUGAGACCUUUACUUUGAAAAAUUAGAGUGUUCAAAGCAGGCCUUCGCUUGAAUACAUUAGCAUGGAAUAAUGGAAUAGGACUUCUGUUCUAUUUUGUUUGGUUUUCUUAGGACUGAAGUAAUAGAUUAAUAAGGGAGUAGUUGGGGGUCGGAUUAGUAUUUAAUUUAGUUCAGAGGU
rnacentral:rRNA from 1 species